rnacentral:rRNA from 1 species
UACGGAGGGUGCAAGCGUUAUCCGGAUUCACUGGGUUUAAAGGGUGUGUAGGCGGGCGUUUAAGUCAGUGGUGAAAUCUCCAGGCUCAACCUGGAAACUGCCAUUGAUACUAUUCGUCUUGAAUAUCGUUGAGGUAGGCGGAAUAUAUCAUGUAGCGGUGAAAUGCUUAGAUAUGAUAUAGAACACCGAUUGCGAAGGCAGCUUACUAAACGAUCAUUGACGCUGAGGCACGAAAGCGUGGGGAUCAAACAGG